AACAGGAUUAGAUACCCUGGUAGUCCACGCCGUAAACGAUGUCGACUUGGAGGUUGUGCCCUUGAGGCGUGGCUUCCGGAGCUAACGCGUUAAGUCGACCGCCUGGGGAGUACGGCCGCAAGGUUAAAACUCAAAUGAAUUGACGGGGGCCCGCACAAGCGGUGGAGCAUGUGGUUUAAUUCGAUGCAACGCGAAGAACCUUACCUACUCUUGACAUCCAGAGAACUUAGCAGAGAUGCUUUGGUGCCUUCGGGAACUCUGAGACAGGUGCUGCAUGGCUGUCGUCAGCUCGUGUUGUGAAAUGUUGGGUUAAGUCCCGCAACGAGCGCAACCCUUAUCCUUUGUUGCCAGCGGUUAGGCCGGGAACUCAAAGGAGACUGCCAGUGAUAAACUGGAGGAAGGUGGGGAUGACGUCAAGUCAUCAUGGCCCUUACGAGUAGGGCUACACACGUGCUACAAUGGCGCAUACAAAGAGAAGCGACCUCGCGAGAGCAAGCGGACCUCAUAAAGUGCGUCGUAGUCCGGAUUGGAGUCUGCAACUCGACUCCAUGAAGUCGGAAUCGCUAGUAAUCGUAGAUCAGAAUGCUACGGUGAAUACGUUCCCGGGCCUUGUACACACCGCCCGUCACACCAUGGGAGUGGGUUGCAAAAGAAGUAGGUAGCUUAACCUUCGGGAGGGCGCUUACCACUUUGUGAUUCAUGACUGGGGUGAAGUCGUAACAAGGUAUCCGUA
rnacentral:rRNA from 1 species